CGCGGGGUAGAGCAGCCCGGUGGCUCGUCAGGCUCAUAACCUGAAGGUCGUAGGUUCAAAUCCUACCCCCGCAA
rnacentral:tRNA from 1 species